GACGAACGCUGGCGGCGUGCCUAAUACAUGCAAGUUGAGCGCUGAAGGUUGGUACUUGUACCAACUGGAUGAGCAGCGCACGGGUGAGUAACGCGUGGGGAAUCUGCCUUUGAGCGGGGGACAACAUUUGGAAACGAAUGCUAAUACCGCAUAAAAACUUUAAACACAAGUUUUAAGUUUGAAAGAUGCAAUUGCAUCACUCAAAGAUGAUCCCGCGUUGUAUUAGCUAGUUGGUGAGGUAAAGGCUCACCAAGGCGAUGAUACAUAGCCGACCUGAGAGGGUGAUCGGCCACAGUGGGACUGAGACACGGCCCAAACUCCUACGGGAGGCAGCAGUAGGGAAUCUUCGGCAAUGGACGAAAGUCUGACCGAGCAACGCCGCGUGAGGGAAGAAGGUUUUCGGAUCGUAAAACUCUGUUGGUAGAGAAGAACGUUGGUGAGAGUGGAAAGCUCAUCAAGUGACGGUAACUACCCAGAAAGGGACGGCUAACUACGUG
rnacentral:rRNA from 1 species